ACCACUCUCUCCUGUCCUCUCACUUGACCCUGAGCUCCAGGUGACCCUCAGCCAUGAGGACCCUCACUCUCCUUGCCACCCUUCUCCUCUUGACCCUCCAGGCCCAGGCUCAGACCCUCCAAGACACAGCUGACCAGCUUCCCGCCCAGGACCAGCCUGAAACCAAGGACCAAGGCGAACUUUGGGCCGAGGACCAGGACCAGGCUGAGGACAGUGACCAGGACGUGGCCAUCUCCUUCACAGGAGAGGAACGCCUCACUCGAGCUUUAGGAGUUAGGAAAGAAGCCAAAUGCACAUGCACACACAAAAAAUUGUGCAAUUUCCCUAGAAAAAAAUAUGGGU